UACGAAGGGGGCUAGCGUUGCUCGGAAUCACUGGGCGUAAAGGGUGCGUAGGCGGGUUUUUAAGUCAGGGGUGAAAUCCUGGAGCUCAACUCCAGAACUGCCUUUGAUACUGAAGAUCUUGAGUUCGGGAGAGGUGAGUGGAACUGCGAGUGUAGAGGUGAAAUUCGUAGAUAUUCGCAAGAACACCAGUGGCGAAGGCGGCUCACUGGACCGUCACUGACGCUGAGGUGCGAAAGCUAGGGUAGCAAACGGG
rnacentral:rRNA from 1 species